rnacentral:rRNA from 1 species
GUGAGGAAUAUUGGUCAAUGGACGAGAGUCUGAACCAGCCAAGUCGCGUGAAGGAAGACGGUUCUAUGAAUUGUAAACUUCUUUUGUGCAGGAAUAAAGUGGGUUACGUGUAACCUUUUGUUUGUACUGUCCGAAUAAGGAUCGGCUAACUCCGUGCCAGCAGCCGCGGUAAUACGGAGGAUCCGAGCGUUAUCCGGAUUUAUUGGGUUUAAAGGGUGCGUAGGUGGAUUGAUAAGUCAGCGGUGAAAGUUUGCAGCUUAACUGUAAAAUUGCCGUUGAAACUGUCGGUCUUGAGUGCAAAUGAGGUAGGCGGAAUGUGUUGUGUAGCGGUGAAAUGCUUAGAUAUAACACAGAACUCCGAUUGCGAAGGCAGCUUACUGGGAUGCAACUGACACUGAUGCACGAAAGCGUGGGUAUCAAACAGGAUUAGAGACCCGGGUAGUCC